CCCUUUUUAACCAACUAAAUUCUCCUCCUCUCUCUCUCUCUCAUUCUCUAUCAAUAGUUCUCAUUUUUUACUAUAACACGAAUUUUUAACUAAUCAAUGUUAUAAAAUUAAAAUUUAUAUUUAAUAUAUGUAAUAUAAACUAUAUAUUACAGUUAUGUGUAAAAAAUUACAUAAUUUAAAUUUUUAUAAUAAUAUUUUAAAAAUAUAGACUAUAAAAUUUAGUUUUACACCUCGAUGGUACGAAAUAUUUUUCAUCCACCACUUUAUCUUUUCUUCUCANUUUAAUUUAUUGUUUGUUGGCCAGCUCGUGAGCCAGCUCGUGUUCGACUUGUUUAUUAACAAGCCGAACACGAGCUGAAUUCUUCGUAUAUAAUAAUUUAUUAUUUUUAU
rnacentral:lncRNA from 1 species